rnacentral:rRNA from 1 species
CCUACGGGAGGCAGCAGUGAGGAAUAUUGGUCAAUGGGCGGAAGCCUGAACCAGCCAAGUAGCGUGCGGGAUGAAGGCCCUACGGGUCGUAAACCGCUUUUGCACGGGGAUAACACCCUCCACUUGUGGAGGUCUGCAGGUACCGUGCGAAUAAGGACCGGCUAAAUCCGUGCCAGCAGCCGCGGUAAUACGGAAGGCCCGAGCGUUAUCCGGAAUCAUUGGGCUUAAAGGGAGCGUAGGCGGGCGUUCAAGUCAGCUGUAAAAUCGCGCGGCUCAACCGCGCCCCGCAGUUGAAACUGGAAGACUUGAGUGCACAACAGGCAGGCGGAAUUCGUGGGGUAGCGGUGAAAUGCAUAGAUAUCACGAGGAACCCCGAUUGCGAAGGCAGCCUGCCGGGGUGCGACUGACGCUGAGGCUCGAAGGUGCGGGUAUCAAACAGGAUUAGAUACCCCUGUAGUC